rnacentral:rRNA from 1 species
CCUACGGGGUGCACCAGUGGGGAAUAUUGCACAAUGGGCGCAAGCCUGAUGCAGCCAUGCCGCGUGUAUGAAGAAGGCCUUCGGGUUGUAAAGUACUUUCAGCGGGGAGGAAGGCGAUAAGGUUAAUAACCUUGUCAAUUGACGUUACCCGCAGAAGAAGCACCGGCUAACUCCGUGCCAGCAGCCGCGGUAAUACGGAGGGUGCAAGCGUUAAUCGGAAUUACUGGGCAUAAAGCGCACGCAGGCGGUCUGUCAAGUCGGAUGUGAAAUCCCCGGGCUCAACCUGGGAACUGCAUUCGAAACUGGCAGGCUGGAGUCUUGUAGAGGGGGGUAGAAUUCCAGGUGUAGCGGUGAAAUGCGUAGAGAUCUGGAGGAAUACCGGUGGCGAAGGCGGCCCCCUGGACAAAGACUGACGCUCAGGUGCGAAAGCGUGGGGAGCAAACAGGAUUAGAUACCCUCGUAGUC